rfam:Ruminococcus sp. CAG:108 genomic scaffold, scf239
GUUAUUCGAGGUGGAAGAUUUCGUACAAUCCACACGCCGAUGGCUUGACAAAGGGAAACCUUGAGAGAUGCAGGAGAGUUAUACGCCUGCCGAAUAAC